UACGAAGGGGGCUAGCGUUGCUCGGAAUCACUGGGCGUAAAGCGCACGUAGGCGGCUUCUCAAGUCAGGGGUGAAAUCCUGGAGCUCAACUCCAGAACUGCCUUCGAUACUGGGAGUCUCGAGUCCGGGAGAGGUGAGUGGAACUGCGAGUGUAGAGGUGAAAUUCGUAGAUAUUCGCAAGAACACCAGUGGCGAAGGCGGCUCACUGGCCCGGUACUGACGCUGAGGUGCGAAAGCGUGGGGAGCAAACAGG
rnacentral:rRNA from 1 species